CUCCCAUCCCAAUAUCACCUAUCAGAAAAUGGAUCAUUAUCUGAUAUCCCGGAGAAUGGAUCACUAACUGAUUGAUGAAGAUGGUCAUCCAACCACGGAGGCAAUGAAUCACAAAAGGAAUGGGUGAAGGCGUAAUCUCAUGAGGGACAAGGAGUCUGCGUUGCAGAUUUUGUUUUUAGUUGUGAAGAGGGGGUGCAACUAUACAUAAUGUAGGUGCAUCAGUAACAAAUCUGAAGGGCCUAAACCAGAGUAGGCCAAGCCCAUUUUGAAACAGUAAAAGAGGGAUGUAGAAGCAGGUCCGAAAGUGCAGAUAAGAAAGUCUCUUGCAGUGUAAAAAAGGGGCCCAAAUGGUC
rnacentral:lncRNA from 1 species